rnacentral:rRNA from 1 species
AUUGAACGCUGGCGGAAUGCUUUACACAUGCAAGUCGAACGGUAGAGGGGGCAACCCCUCGAGAGUGGCGAACGGGUGAGUAAUAUAUCGGAACGUGCCCAGUCGUGGGGGAUAACGUAGCGAAAGUUACGCUAAUACCGCAUACGAUCUAAGGAUGAAAGCGGGGGAUCGCAAGACCUCGCGCGAUUGGAGCGGCCGAUAUCAGAUUAGGUAGUUGGUGGGGUAAAGGCUCACCAAGCCAACGAUCUGUAGCUGGUCUGAGAGGACGACCAGCCACACUGGAACUGAGACACGGUCCAGACUCCCACGGGAGGCAGCAGUGGGGAAUUUUGGACAAUGGACGCAAGUCUGAUCCAGCCAUUCCGCGUGCAGGAUGAAGGCCCUCGGGUUGUAAACUGCUUUUGUGCGGAACGAAAAGGUCUCUCUUAAUACGGGGGGCUCAUGACGGUGCCGUAAGAAUAAGCACCGGCUAACUACGUGCCAGCCGCCGCAGUAA